rnacentral:tRNA from 1 species
UGGGCUAUGGUCUAAUUGGCAAGGCACCGAACUGUUAAUUCGGAUGAUUCUGGUUCGAGUCCAGAUAGCCCAGC